CGCCCUCUACUGGACUCUAUGGGUAUAACCCUCCUCCAAUCCCGUGCACGCGAAGGCCCACUUAAAAUUAGCAUGUACGUAGCCGAUGCUAUGGGGCAUACGUAGCCCAUGGGCGUGCCUACCUGACCUGCCCUCUCCAGCGGGUAUAUAAGCAGAUGCAUUGCCAUCUGCUUUUGCCUUCUACUUUCAGCGUCGGUGAGUGCCCACUGUCACAACAUCUCCUAGGAUGGAGUCGCUCCGACAGACCUGCUGUCACGAAUCCCCAGCCAGGAUGACUGUUUGUCUUGUUUGUGUGUGGUUGUUUGUUGUCUGUCUUCUCCUGGGAGUGCUUGAGGGGGCGUGCCUGCAACUGAAUACUCUCAUCUGGCUGACAUCACCUCAUUACCUCAUCACCUCACCUGCUCUUCUUCAACUGCUGGCAGUAUUUAAAGAGCAGCCACACAGCCAGUCUCCGCCGGAUCGUUGCCAAGUAUUGUGGAUCAGCCUACGUCUCGUGUAGCCGCCGUGUGGAUCUCCACCCUUCAAGCCUGCCAGGCGACCCCUCUCUGAUUGCCCCCACCUCGGGACUCCCACACUCGCCUACCUACUCCCUUUUCAUCUCACACAUUCCCUCUCCGAUUCAAUAAACCAUUGCACUCUAA